rnacentral:rRNA from 1 species
UGGGAUUGGCAUCCACUCGCGUGGUAGCGGCCCUCUGUACCCCCCAUUGUAACACGUGUGUAGCCCCGGACGUAAGGGCCGUGCUGAUUUGACGUCAUCCCCACCUUCCUCACAUCUUACGAUGGCAGUCUUGUCAGAGUCCUCAGCAGAACCUGUUAGUAACUGACAACAAGGGUUGCGCUCGUUAUGGCACUUAAGCCGACACCUCACGGCACGAGCUGACGACAACCAUGCAGCACCUUCACAGAUGCCUUGCGGCUUACGGCUUUCACCGUAAUUCAUCUGCAAUUUAAGCCCGGGUAAGGUUCCUCGCGUAUCAUCGAAUUAAACCACAUGUUCCUCCGCUUGUGCGGGCCCCCGUCAAUUCCUUUGAGUUUCACCGUUGCCGGCGUACUCCCCAGGUGGAAUACUUAACGCUUUCGCUUGGCCGCUUGCUGUAUAUCGCAAACAGCGAGUAUUCAUCGUUUACCGUGUGGACUACCAGGGUAUCUAAUCCUGUUUGAUACCCACACUUUCGAGCCUCAAUGUCAGUUGCAGCUUAGCAGGCUGCCUUCGCAAUCGGAGUUCUUCGUGAUAUCUAAGCAUUUCACCGCUACACCACGAAUUCCGCCUGCCUCAACUGCGACUCAAGAUAUCCAGUAUCAACUGCAAUUUUACGGUUGAGCCGCAAACUUUCACAACUGACUUAAACAUCCAUCUACGCUCCCUUUAAACCCAAUAAAUCCGGAUAACGCUCGGAUCCUCCGUAUUACCGCGGCUGCUGGCACGGAGUUAGCCGAUCCUUAUUCAUAAAGUACAUGCAAACGGGUAUGCAUACCCGACUUUAUUCCUUUAUAAAAGAAGUUUACAACCCAUAGGGCAGUCAUCCUUCACGCUACUUGGCUGGUUCAGGCUCUCGCCCAUUGACCAAUAUUCCUCACUGCUGCCUCCCGUAGGAGUUUGGACCGUGUCUCAGUUCCAAUGUGGGGGACCUUCCUCUCAGAACCCCUAUCCAUCGAAGACUAGGUGGGCCGUUACCCCGCCUACUAUCUAAUGGAACGCAUCCCCAUCGUCUACCGGAAUACCUUUAAUCAUGUGAACAUGCGGACUCAUGAUGCCAUCUUGUAUUAAUCU